AGUGAACGCUGGCGGCGUGCUUAACACAUGCAAGUCGAGCGAAUUCUAACAGCGUAUCGUUAGAGUUAGCGGCAGACGGGUGAGUAAUACUUGGGCAAUCUGCCCUUAAGAGGAAAACAACCUGUCGAAAGGCGGGCUAAUGUUCCAUAAGACCACAGGAUGGCAUCAUCCAGGGGUUAAAGCUCCGCAAGGGGCGCUUGAGGAGGAGCCCGAGUCCUAUCAUGGUAGUUGGUGAGGUAAUGGCUCACCAAGCCGUUGACGGUAGCCGACCUGAAGGGUGACCGGCCACACUGGCACUGAGAC
rnacentral:rRNA from 1 species